UCCAGAUUGGUCACAAUUGUA
rnacentral:piRNA from 1 species